AGGCGCAGGUCUACAGUAGUGUGCUUAGGCUGCAAGAGAGCGCCCCUGACCUUGAAUGGCCCGGGGCCCAGAAUUCUUACCACGCCCCCGGAAUCAGCCCCUAACCUGACCAUACCUGCCCCGGGCCUGGUGCGGGGCGGAAAGCGUGAGGCGGGUUGGAUGGCACAACGCCGAGGACCUCCUGCGUUGGGGAUCCGUGGUUGCCACCGCAGGCCUGGCACGAUUAGGGCCUGGAUGGUCGGUCCGCCUGGCUACCGCGGCUGGUACCUGGAGACGCUUUCAACUGAAGUAAUGAAGGCAGUGUCGUGCUGUCGAGAGAAAGGUGGAUCCCAACAACAGGAAACUACCUAAAUCACCGACCAGUUCUGUAGCUGCCGGCGCCGGGCUGCCUCGCCCGCUGCCGCUGCCGCCUCCGCUGCCGCCACCGUCGCCGCUAAGAGACCUGCGAUCGCGCCCAGACCAACCCUCCCAAACCUGCGCCAGCCGCUGCCCUACACUCGUGGUGGAGAAGAGGCCACCAGUGCCCGGGAAGCCAGGUCAAGCCCUUUAGCUAACCUGCAUAUCCAUGUUUCGAUACUCUAUUCCUGGCCAAGGAAGAAAAGAAGGAAGAAGAGAGAAAUCAGGCCUGUACUCCCUGAUUAAACACAGCCCAGCACUCCAGGCUGGCGAACCCGGGGGCGGCUCCCGGCACCAUUGACCUCAGGCCAGACACCUCAGCGCCGACAAUGGAACCUAGGGCUUCCGGCUAAGUUUACCCAGGGCUGGGCAGGAAACCAGAUCCGGGUAGGAGUCCUGGGAACCCCGAGGCAGCGAACCCAGCCCAGUCAGGACUUGACAGUGAAGACAAUCUCAUUCUCUAUAGAAUUUUAGCGAUAUGGCUUUUUCCCCCAGAAAACAAGUAAACCAACACCGAGCAAACAGACAAAGAAACAAAAAGUCAGAACGAACCAGCCCUGCACAGACGAAGCGGCCUGGGAGGUGAAGGGAGUUAAUGGGGCUCCGGCACAGGUGCGGGUUCUGGGGCAGAGGCUGGAGGCAGAAGGAGGGGUACAGGCGCUCUGGAAGCGAAAACACGGGCGUUGCCUGGAGGUUUCAUCAGGAAAAAUUAAAGUUGGCUGUGAGCUCCCGGA